CUCUCUUUAUUUUUUUAUUAUACUAAAUAUAUAAUCCAAGAUCAAGAAAAUUACAAUUUAUUUUUCAUUCUGUAUUUUAUCUAGUGUCCUUGGAUUUUUAUUCCCUCAUGAACUAAACCUUGCUUCCCAAAUGUACUGGAAGAAAUUACCAUUCAGUAAUUUCAAUACCAGAGUUACUAAAGAGAAGGAAACGCUUUUGUGUCUGGAUAAUAAAUGCUGACCAUUUUGGUCUAAACGUUCAAUCAGAUGUGAAGUCUCUGAGAAGUGAUGCCUCAAGGUGAAGGUGCAUAAACUGUGCUCAUAAAUGAUGAGGUCAUAAGUCUAUCACCUACCCUUAUCGCUAGUUAUGCAGGCAUGGAGAUGUCAUUGACAACAGCUCUGGCUUGUCACUUUGUGGCAGGGAUUGAUUUCUGAAAACAUGACAGAAGAGACUAAUGGUUCAAGUGCAACUCAUUGGCUGCAAGGUUCCCCAGUAUGGGGCAUGUGCAAAUAGCAUAGGAUGAUAGACAAGAUCAGCAGCACCAAUGGGUUGGAGACAGCUCUAGCCCGAAUGUCCAACUGUAUAUGUGCUACAGAGGAAGAGCUAGAGAAGUUAUGGAGAUCUUUAACAGAUGCCAGAAAAAAGUAAGUGGAUCACAAUUAUUAAGAUAUUGAGUUAUUAAUAUGAUUGAAGUUUCAUUUUUGCUUUGUUCACAUUGUAGCUUGAUUAUUCUCUUGAAGUAAUAAAGUAGUUUAAAACUUUUAUUUUGAUUUUACAAGACCAUAUUUUCCAAAUGAGACUUUGGACUCUUACAAAAAAUGUGGAUUGUAAAAAGUUACUGGAUUCUUUAAGGUACUGCAUAUGUAAACUGUUUGAAACGGCAAGGCUGUGGGACUCUGCAAGUGCCAGGACAGACAUGUUUGAUAUUCAAUAUUUGGUAAAGUACUUGCCUAACUAACAGAUUUAAGCUUGAACUUCAUCACAAAAGCAGGUAGGAUUAUACACACAAGGAACAACACCACCCAGGAGAAAGAGGCAGAAAAAUAUGAAUCUCAAGACCAUCCUAUGGAUUUCUCUGGACAGUCUGAAUCCAUAUCAGAGGAAAGGUGAUAUAUGUUCUGUGCUGUUUUAUGCUAGAUAGAAGCAAAAGGAUUAUUAAAGUUUGAAGACAGCCCCGGCAUGAGACAUUAUCUCACAACUUUCAAAUAUAAAAAAAAAAGUAAUAAACAAAUGAAGAAAUUAAGUAAUGUGGAAGAAGGAGGAAGAGGAGAGUACUGUAAUAAGCAGAGGAAGUAUGAAUAAAUUUUCCAAUCCAUGAACACUAUUUAGAAGGGUGAAUAUUCACAGUUAGUCACCAACUGAAACGUCUUCAAGUGCAAUGAGGUAGUACUCUCCACGGAAACUAAGAUCCUAUUGCAUCGAUGUGAGCCAGUCAGUAGACCUUUGACAGAAAAAUUGGAAGGCUCACCUGUGAUACUGAUCUUGAAGAUGAAAGAUCCAAGUUUCUGGCCUAGUUCUUGGCAUGGAGAUCUGGAAGCAUAGUAAGACAAGGAGAUCUCGCUGUUCAACGUCAUCUGGGACAAAGCAAGUCUCAGAUCAAGGGAGACUGAGUUCUGAGGCCCGGUCAGGGCAAUUCUGGAGACUGGCGAAUAGAGGAAUGUCCUACUCCUCAAAACAUGGGGAAGUAUGAAUAAAUUUUCCAAUCCAUGAACACUGUCGAGAAGGAGUGAAUGCUCCAGUUAGUCAUCAACUUUAAUUCUUCAUGUUCAAUGAGAUAGGAAGUAUGAAUAAAUUUUCCAAUCCAUGAACACUGUCGAGAAGGAGUGAAUGCUCCAGUUAGUCAUCAACUUUAAUUCUUCAUGUUCAAUGAGAUAGGAAGUAUGAAUAAAUUUUCCAAUCCAUGNACACUAUCUACAAGGGUGAAUAUUCCAGUUAGUCACCAACUGAAACAUCUUCAUGUUCAAUGAGAUAGGAUUUACAGAGUCAUCUCCAAGAUAAAACCUAUACUAGUUGGGACAUCUAACGUAUGCUCUUCUUCAGAGUCGUUGAAAGAAUGAUGCAGUACCCUGUUUUCUGCCACAUCAGGAUAUACACAAGUCAUCACAAUUGUUAAAGAUCAAUGAGAAUCCUCUGAGGCUGCCUGACUGAAAUAAUGGAUGUUGCACUCCAAUUUAUAUAACUAAUAUGACUUUAUUAGUUGAAAUCUUGAAGCUGUGAAAGUGGCAACACACAGCCAGCAAGGAUUGGGGCAGUAUUUCUGGCAACAGUAAUUGAAGUACCCUCCAUGGAAACUAGGAUCCUAUCACAUCAAUGUGAGCCAGUCAGUAGACUUUUGACAGAAACCAAAGAGCAAAUGAAGGGCCAGUGGAUGGAAAAUGACUAAAUACUGAGGAAGGCUGGCUGAAGAAGGAUCAGUGUGAUAAGAUGCCAUCUUGAAAACAGGAGGAAUGAGAAACAUACUCAGAUAUGCAGAUAAGUGGUUUCUUGCUUAUAGAAAAAUAGUUCUUGCAAAACAAAAGGUAAAGCAACUCUAUCUAGUACUUUGCAAAAUAUGUCACAAAAUCGUCUUUAUGGAAGAACUGAUAUGGUCUAUCACCCAGUCCAAUAGUGAAAGACCAAUGAGAUGUGCCCAGAUCAAGUGAGGAAACCGAGGCAGUUGUAGAUAUUAUCUGAGGAUAAAUAUAUUACAGGAGAUAGAUUAUUACAUUGUCCAAAAAUGUUUCUUAUUAAAAUAGAGUUAUAUAUUAAAAUAUACAUAUAUGCUAAAUAGUAGAUUCUAUAUCCUGGAUGAAAUUUGAGUGAGGAACCUAACACUCUCAUUUUUAGGACAUUUAAGUGUUUUGUUGCUGUCGCUGUUCUCGUUUCUGCUGAAAAUAUUCUCCCUUAUACUUAGAGGGAUUCGUCUAUAGAAUUUCAAGAUGUUUUUCAAAAGCUCUAGUUGUAUUUACAGUGGCAUUCUAAUAGUUAAUAUUUUUUAAAUAAAAUCUUCCCUUUUUAAACACAUUUCCCCUUUCCAAUAAAGAACCAUAAUAGUUUUCAUGAAUUCUACCAUCAAAUAUGAACUUUGUCUAAAUUGAUUUUUACACUACUUCUCAACAUCAUCAUAACAAAAUAAAAGUGAAUGUCAUAUUCCUUGUAAAUUCCCUCUGCCUGGUAUUUCUGAUAUAGCUGUGGAGGUAUGUUCCCAGUCUUAAGAGCCAGGGGAAUUCUGGAGCCAGGGGAAAGAAUUAUACCCAAGAUCUCACAACAUGGGGUGAUAGAAAUUGUGUGAAAAUGACCUGCAAUUCAAUCAAACAUUUCUGUCUAAACAUUAUGUCAUUGUUUUUGCUUCCAGUAUUAUCUCUAGUAGCCAACUAUUGUAGGACAUAGUUAUUUGAACUAAAGACAUUUAAGGAAUCAUGGACUUUCUUUUACAUAGGUAGAAAUAUUACAUAUCUUUGAACUCUUGUAGUCAACCCUCAAACUGUAGACACAAUUGCUUAGUGUCUAAUAUCCUCUGAAGAUCGUAGUAGCUUUCAAACAUUUUGUAUUGCAGUUUAAGGAAGCCAAGUAUUAUUAUUUUGUAUUGUCCCUUUGCCCCAAAGGAUGUCUCAAUCUUCAGGGAAAUGAAAAUCAAAAGGACAUUGAGAUUCUGAAACCUCGCACCAGUCAGAAUGGCUUACAUCAAAAACUCAUGAGACAGAAGAUGUUGAUGAGAAUACAGAAUACUCAGAUAAUCACUCAGAAAUUUGGAGAUACAACCUGAAUAGCCAGCUAUACCAAUUCUGAGCACAUACCAAUAAGAUGAUCCAACAUAUAACGACAUCACAUGCUCCUUUACAUUCAUAGCACCCUUUUUUAUAAUAAGGAGAAGCUGGAAAAAACUCAGAUGCCAUUAAACAGAGGAAUGGAUACAGAAAUGUGGUACAUUUACACAAAAG
rnacentral:sRNA from 1 species